CUCAUUCAAAAUGGAGGUCAUGGUCCAUGUACGUGCGGAAGAGCGUCUGAUAUUGAUACGUUUACGUGCUUUUACUGUCAUAUAUCUGCAGGAGAAUGACAUAUAGGGAGAGAAAACAGCUGGUCGUACCGGAUACCCGCAGAAAUAACGACAGUCCUUUGGAAAGGUGGCUUCCCCGGGCAUAAAUCGGACGGUCGGCGGAGGGAGUUGGAGUCUCCGAGCGCUCGUCCGGGAGUACGGAACGCCGUGAUUCAAUUAGGGAUCAGUGACGCUGAACGUUGGCGUCUGUCUGGGUGUUAUCGCGUCGACGUGAUCUGUUUAAGGCCGCCUGAAGGGUAGAAUUCCAUUCAUUGCUGUUAGGGAGCGCGGCUCUUAUCUAUGAUGUGGAAUUAGCAAUGACCUGGUGCAGUUGUUACAUACAAUUUGUAGGUAUUGAAUGUCCCGACUGACGAAUGCCUGGCACUGUAGUAUACUACGAGACAGGGAUUUGUGCGAGUGAUCUUCUUAAACCAUCUAGAAGACCCAGGCCCCGAUCAAUGAUGUAAGUGGGCAUGAAGUUAUACUGACUGGGAUUAUGUGACAGACGGCUUGCUAUAAAUUCUCAGAUAGCACAGCACCCGACAUGUGACUUCUGUAUGUAUGUGAAAGAAUUAAGGUAAUUAUUGACAGUGAAAUCCGAUUUCAGUUCCAAUGGGACUUGAAGCACAGUGAUGCCAUGUCCAUUACGUGUGCUUAAUCAAUUCUGCAACAAAAUAUUGGCCUCUGUAGGAUCCAGGGAUCUUAUCUACAGAGCUUAAGUGGGUUGGUACUAAGUAGUUCUAAACACAAAAGACAGCAUGUAGGAAAUGUGUUGUAAAUAUAAUGUGCACCCAGACAUAACGUCAUGUUUCCAACAGAUCUGUGGUAGGCACGAGACAUCAAUAAUGCAGUACAACAGUCUGUGCCAAGCUCGAGUAUAAAGAGGUAACAUGAGGCUUGUUAGACUGAAGCAGUUUCGCAGAUUCUUCUCAGGAUGGCGGGUCCGGAGGAUGUGCGGUUUCUUCUUCUUUGUCGUCGUCUUUUACUGCUUUGUUUUCCAACCGUUCUCCUACAACCAGCUGACCGACACAACGUUCCUCGGGGAGGACAAAUGUCCCGCUUGCUUCGGGACCGACCUCUGCGAAGAGUUUGAAAAUGGCAAGAUUUUAUUCAAGUAUUCCUCACGGCUGAGAAUACUGGACAUCUUCAACAUCAAGAAUGUGUACUUCGCAAUCUAUGAAGGGAUGGAGGUUGCCUUGAAACGUCUUGGUCACAACUCUGAAUUUGAUCAGUUGGACCGGUGGAUCUGCGAGACUGGCAAGGAAGGCCCGCAAUGCCACAUCCCUUCCGUCACGUACUAUUCCAACUUUUCUCGCGUGAUCUACGAGGGGUUAUCCCCCAAGAGCCUGACAGACAUGUCAGAUAUGGUGAGGUGUCCAUCACAAAGGCUGAUUGACAGGGUACUGGAGAAAUUUGCGGAGCAUCUCGGUAAGGAGACAGAGGAACUGUCGUAUCAGGAGAAGCUCCACUUCCUGUCUACUCUGAAGUUUAACCCAGAACCACUUAUGUUACAGACAUUCCCCAUCACUGAGGGCUGGCCAUUCCCGUUCUACUUUGGUGCCUGCGGUCGACUGACAGUCGUGCAGAAGUGCGACAAGACUUUGGCGAGUUACUACAGUGCCCCCUGGCUGCAGAGAGUGGAACUAUCCCUCCAGAUGAUGAAGAUAGCAGAAUAUCUAACAAACAAUGAGGCAGACUUUGCCCUUUACCUCACCGACAUUUCGUACGAGAAUUUUGGGGUGACGAGUGAUGGAAAUCUGUUCGUUAUAGACGUGGAGAACGUCAUUGUGGUGGACAAACAAAAGAUAAAAACAGAUAAACCGCCUAACUGGGAGGCCAGGUACCAGUCCCACUUUGACGAGUGUCCGGGCAUGCCCAACUGCCUGUCAUUUGACGUGUCCGCGUUGUGCAGGUACCUCCACACCGACCAUAACUACUACGCGGUGUGCAGGAACAUGUUGUCUGAGUACGCCUCGGAGAUGGGGAAGCCGGGAGGUCUCCUGCACGAUCCGCCAGAGACCGUGGUGCACGACGGGACGUUACAACGCCUCCUGAGGGAGUGCGCCAAACCACGAACUCUAUACGGCAGGUUUGACGCUGCCAAGGAACUGAUUGAGUUGUUGGGAAGCUUCUUGAAGGAGAGGUGACUUCUCAAGUCAGGAAGGCCAUCAAAAACCAUAAUAUAGUUUAACUUUAAGUGCUUCCCACAAUUUUUGGAUAUAGGGGAGUGCCCAUCUCCAUUUGUAUAGCCAAACCACGAACUCCUUAUGGCAGGUUUGACGCUGCCAAGGAACUGAUCGAGUUGUUGGGAAGCUUCUUGAAGGAGAGGUGACUUCUCGAAUCAGGAAAGGCUGUGAUUUAGUUUAAGUGCUUCCCACAAUUUUUGUGUAUAGGGGAAAGCCUAUCUCCAUUUGUAUAGCCCUCGGGCCACACCCAAGGUGCAGAAAGCACUAUGACCACACACCCCUCCCCCAGUAGUAGGGGGCUAGUCUACUGGAAAAGGUCACAAUACAUUGUCAAACAUGUAGGGAUAGUUCAUAGUCUUCAGACACACGACUCCAUUAUAAAAACUCUGCAAACAAACCAAACUCCAGACGUCAAACACAAUGGCAAAGUUUCAGAUGAUACUACAUGAGUAGUUGAUACAGUAGCAAUCUGUACAGUGGAAAACUUUCUUUCCAAACACUUAUUCAGGGGAUAGAUGUCAGAGCCUUAUUCGAGUAAGGCCCACUUUCCAUUAGACAACAAAUAUGAUGCAAAAUAUAAAGAUAUGAUCCAAAAUAUAGCAAACCGCAUGAAACAUAAAAAGUUCUUUAACUAUGAAUUUUGUUGAGCGACCUGGUAAAUGUCUGGCUACUCAGAUGUUGCUCAAUGGGUGAAGGAGAUUUAAAUGGAUUACAUGCCCCAAAUCUAUGCACACACUGGAAAUAGAUGUACUGUACAGCCUCUAAGGCAAGGUGUCAGUUUUAGUGACGCAUCUCUUUUAAAAGGCAAUAGUAUUUAUAGAUGAUACUUUUUGUAAAUGUUAGUGUUGAAUCCACUUCUCUGUGUACAUGCCCAGUUAUGAAGUAUAAAUGAUUAUUAAAAAAUGUAAGUAGAUCUACAUUUACUAGAUCAACAUGUACCCAUUGAUGAUGUGUGUGAACAAUUGACUUCAAGUUAGUUGUCACCUAAGUGUGUUCAUUCAAGAUGUUGAUAAGUCAAUUGGGGUCAAAUAGCCAGUGAGUGGAUAUGUUGGUGGACACAAGAUCAGAAGGUAGAAGGUUUGAUUCCCAGUAUUCUUGGCUAUACGUUGUGUCCUUGGGAAACUUUCCUCACUCCACUUUGGGGUAAAUGGCUAAAAUGGUAAACUGGAUUUCAAAACAGAAAUCACAACCUUCAGGGUGGUUUUGAGCUUCCUAUGAAUAAAUUAGGGUUCAAACAAACAAAUCUGGCCAGCACUGUAAGCUAGGAACAAGCCUGUGCAAUACUGUAUAUGUAGUAUUAUGUACACAUUUAAGACUUAUGCUUUCUGUCUAGCAGUACAUAGUCGCUUUCUAUAUAUGUCAAGGGUUACAUUUUAUGAAAAAAAUUGUUGCUGUGCAACAGAGAAUAAACAGGUUUUUGGAUGUUGGACGUUACAACCAGAAUAAGGUGUACACAUUUCUAGGAAUAAAUCUAGUUAUAUAGACAA